rnacentral:rRNA from 1 species
UACGUAGGGGGCUAGCGUUGUCCGGAAUCAUUGGGCGUAAAGAGCGUGUAGGCGGCCCGGUAAGUCCGCUGUGAAAGUCGGGGGCUCAACCCUCGAAUGCCGGUGGAUACUGUCGGGCUAGAGUGCGGAAGAGGCGAGUGGAAUUCCUGGUGUAGCGGUGAAAUGCGCAGAUAUCAGGAGGAACACCGAUUGCGAAGGCAGUUCUCUGGGACGGUACUGACGCUGAGACGCGAAAGCGUGGGGAGCGAACAGG